UAGGGGUGAAAUUCCAAUCGAACCCGGAGAUAGCUGGUUCUCCCCGAAAUAGCUUUAGGGCUAGCGUCGAGAGAAGAGUUGCGUGAAGGUAGAGCACUGAAUAUGUGAUGGCCCCAUCUCGGGGUACUGAGCAUAAUCAAACUGCGAAUGUCACGCCAACAUGCUCGGCAGUCAGACAGCGGGUGAUAAGGUCCGUUGUCAAGAGGGAAACAGCCCAGACCAUCAGCUAAGGUCCCAAAAUGUAUGCUAAGUGGAAAAGGAUGUGGAGAUGUACAGACAACUAGGAGGUUGGCUCAGAAGCAGCCAUCCUUUAAAGAGUGCGUAACAGCUCACUAGUCGAAUGACUCUGCGCCGAUAAUUUACCGGGGCUAAGCAUACUACCGAAGCUAUGGAUCCCAAGGGAUGGUAGGGGAGCGUUCCAUGAACGGAGAAGUACGACCGAAAGGACGUGUGGAGAUCAUGGAAGAGAGAAUGCCGGUGUGAGUAGCGGAACGUGGGUGAGAAUCCCACGCACCGAAAACCCAAGGUUUCCAGAGGAAGGUUCGUCCGCUCUGGGUAAGUCGGGACCUAAGGCGAGGCCGAAAGGCGUAGUCGAUGGACAACAGGUAGAGAUUCCUGUACCCGUAUAUAUGUGAAGGAAUGACGGAGAGAGGAAGCUGCAGCCAGCGGCUGGAAGAGCUGGUGCAAGCGAGAUAUCGGGAUGGCAGGCAAAUCCACCAUCCGAAACGAGAAGGCGUGAAGCGUACGGAAAGCUACGGCGAGUACGGAAGGCAGUGGAGGAACUUCCAAGAAAAGUUUCUAACGUUAAGUAUAUAUGGCCCGUACCGAAAAUGGACACACAUGGGUGAGGAGAGAAUCCUAAGGUGAGCGAGAGAACUAUAGCUAAGGAACUCUGCAAAAUGACUCCGUAACUUAGGGAGAAGGAGUGCUCAUAGAGAUAUGAGCCGCAGUGAAACGGCCCAAGCGACUGUUUACCAAAAACACAGCUCUCUGCUAAGCCGCAAGGCGAAGUAUAGGGGGUGACGCCUGCCCGGUGCUGGAAGGUUAAGGGGAGGGGUUAACGCAAGUGAAGCCCUGAACUGAAGCCCCAGUAAACGGCGGCCGUAACUAUAACGGUCCUAAGGUAGCGAAAUUCCUUGUCAGGUAAGUUCUGACCCGCACGAAAGGCGUAACGAUUUGGGCGCUGUCUCAGCUGUAGACUCGGUGAAGUCUUAGUACCUGUGAAGAUGCAGGUUACCCGCGACUAGACGGAAAGACCCCAUGGAGCUUCACUGCAGGUUGAUAUUGGGAUUUGAUGCAGCAUGUACAGGAUAGGUAGGAGGCAAAGAGAUGGAUACGCCAGUAUUCAAGGAGCCGCUGUUGGGAUACUACCCCUGUUGUAUUGGAUUUCUAACCGGACGACGUAGAGCCGUUGACGGGACAGUGUCAGUCGGGCAGUUUGACUGGGGCGGUCGCCUCCCAAAGAGUAACGGAGGCGCCCAAAGAUACCCUCAGCUUGGAUGGAAACCAAGCGCAGAGUGCAAAGGCAAAAGGGUGUUUGACUGCGAGACCUACAAGUCGAGCAGGGACGAAAGUCGGGCUUAGUGAUCCGGCGGUGCUGAAUGGAAAGGCCGUCGCUCAACGGAUAAAAGCUACCCUGGGGAUAACAGGCUGAUCUCCCCCAAGAGUUCACAUCGACGGGGAGGUUUGGCACCUCGAUGUCGGCUCAUC
rnacentral:rRNA from 1 species